rnacentral:rRNA from 1 species
AGUCUGAAUAGGGCGUUUAGUAUGUGGUUGUAGACCCGAAACCAGGUGAUCUACCCAUGUCCAGGGUGAAGUUCAGGUAACACUGAAUGGAGGCCCGAACCCACGCACGUUGAAAAGUGCGGGGAUGAGGUGUGGGUAGCGGAGAAAUUCCAAUCGAACCUGGAGAUAGCUGGUUCUCUCCGAAAUAGCUUUAGGGCUAGCCUCAUGUUGUGAGAGUCUUGGAGGUAGAGCACUGAUUGGACUAGGGGUCCUCAUCGGAUUACCGAAUUCAGUCAAACUCCGAAUGCCAAUGACUUAUCCUUAGGAGUCAGACUGCGAGUGAUAAGAUCCGUAGUCAAAAGGGAAACAGCCCAGACCGCCAGCUAAGGUCCCAAAGUGUGUAUUAAGUGGAAAAGGAUGUGGAGUUGCUUAGACAACUAGGAUGUUGGCUUAGAAGCAGCCACCAUUUAAAGAGUGCGUAAUAGCUCACUAGUCGAGUGACUCUGCGCCGAAAAUGUACCGGGGCUAAAUACACCACCGAAGCUGCGGAUUGAUACCAAUGGUAUCAGUGGUAGGGGAGCGUUCUAAGGACAGUGAAGUCAGACCGGAAGGACUGGUGGAGUGCUUAGAAGUGAGAAUGCCGGUAUGAGUAGCGAAAGACGGGUGAGAAUCCCGUCCACCGAAUGCCUAAGGUUUCCUGAGGAAGGCUCGUCCGCUCAGGGUUAGUCAGGACCUAAGCCGAGGCCGACAGGCGUAGGCGAUGGACAACAGGUUGAUAUUCCUGUACCACCUCUUUAUCGUUUGAGCAAUGGAGGGACGCAGAAGGAUAGAAGAAGCGUGCGAUUGGUUGUGCACGUCCAAGCAGUUAGGCUGAUAAGUAGGCAAAUCCGCUUAUCGUGAAGGCUGAGCUGUGAUGGGGAAGCUCCUUAUGGAGCGAAGUCUUUGAUUCCCCGCUGCCAAGAAAAGCUUCUAGCGAGAUAAAAGGUGCCUGUACCGCAAACCGACACAGGUAGGCGAGGAGAGAAUCCUAAGGUGUGCGAGAGAACUCUGGUUAAGGAACUCGGCAAAAUGACCCCGUAACUUCGGGAGAAGGGGUGCUUUCUUAACGGAAAGCCGCAGUGAAUAGGCCCAAGCGACUGUUUAGCAAAAACACAGCUCUCUGCGAAGCCGUAAGGCGAAGUAUAGGGGGUGACACCUGCCCGGUGCUGGAAGGUUAAGGAGAGGGGUUAGCGUAAGCGAAGCUCUGAACUGAAGCCCCAGUAAACGGCGGCCGUAACUAUAACGGUCCUAAGGUAGCGAAAUUCCUUGUCGGGUAAGUUCCGACCCGCACGAAAGGUGUAACGAUUUGGGCACUGUCUCAACCAGAGACUCGGUGAAAUUAUAGUACCUGUGAAGAUGCAGGUUACCCGCGACAGGACGGAAAGACCCCGUGGAGCUUUACUGUAGCCUGAUAUUGAAUUUUGGUACAGUUUGUACAGGAUAGGCGGGAGCCAUUGAAACCGGAGCGCUAGCUUCGGUGGAGGCGCUGGUGGGAUACCGCCCUGACUGUAUUGAAAUUCUAACCUACGGGUCUUAUCGACCCGGGAGACAGUGUCAGGUGGGCAGUUUGACUGGGGCGGUCGCCUCCUAAAGUGUAACGGAGGCGCCCAAAGGUUCCCUCAGAAUGGUUGGAAAUCAUUCGUAGAGUGCAAAGGCAUAAGGGAGCUUGACUGCGAGACCUACAAGUCGAGCAGGGACGAAAGUCGGGCUUAGUGAUCCGGUGGUUCCGCAUGGAAGGGCCAUCGCUCAACGGAUAAAAGCUACCCCGGGGAUAACAGGCUUAUCUCCCCCAAGAGUCCACAUCGACGGGGAGGUUUGGCACCUCGAUGUCGGCUCAUCGCAUCCUGGGGCUGUAGUCGGUCCCAAGGGUUGGGCUGUUCGCCCAUUAAAGCGGUACGCGAGCUGGGUUCAGAACGUCGUGAGACAGUUCGGUCCCUAUCCGUCGUGGGCGUAGGAAAUUUGAGAGGAGCUGUCCUUAGUACGAGAGGACCGGGAUGGACGCACCGCUGGUGUACCAGUUGUCUUGCCAAAGGCAUAGCUGGGUAGCUAUGUGCGGAAGGGAUAAGUGCUGAAAGCAUCUAAGCAUGAAGCCCCCCUCAAGAUGAGAUUUCCCAUAGCGUAAGCUAGU